GGGUUGUGAGGUUAAGCGAAUAAGCGUACACGGUGGAUGCCUAGGCAAUCAGAGGCGAUGAAGGACGUGCUAAUCUGCGAAAAGCGUCGGUAAGGUGAUAUGAACCGUUAUACCCGACGAUAUCCGAAUGGGGAAACCCAGUAUCCAAUGGAUACUAUCAUUAACUGAAUCCAUAGGUUAAUGAGGCGAACCGGGAGAACUGAAACAUCUCAGUACCCCGAGGAAAAGAAAUCAACCGAGAUUCCCCUAGUAGCGGCGAGCGAACGGGGAGCAGCCCAGAGUCUUAAUCAAUAGCAGUGUCAGGAGAACGGUCUGGAAAGUCCGGCAGUAAAGGGUGAUAGCCCCGUAUCUGAAGAUGCUGUUAUUGUGAACUCGACGAGUAGGGCGGGACACGUGUUAUCCUGUCUGAAUAUGGGGGGACCAUCCUCCAAGGCUAAAUACUCCUGAUUGACCGAUAGUGAACCAGUACCGUGAGGGAAAGGCGAAAAGAACCCCGGCGAGGGGAGUGAAAAAGAACCUGAAACCGUGUACGUACAAGCAGUAGGAGCCNNNNNNNNNNNNNNNNNNNNNNNNNNNNNNNNNNNNNNNNNNNNNNNNNNNNNNNNNNNNNNNNNNNNNNNNNNNAUGGGGUGACUGCGUACCUUUUGUAUAAUGGGUCAGCGACUUAUAUUCUGUAGCAAGGUUAACCGUAUAGGGGAGCCGUAGGGAAACCGAGUCUUAACUGGGCGAAUGAGUUGCAGGGUAUAGACCCGAAACCCGGUGAUCUAUCCAUGGGCAGGUUGAAGGUUGGGUAACACUAACUGGAGGACCGAACCGACUAAUGUUGAAAAAUUAGCGGAUGACUUGUGGAUGGGGGUGAAAGGCCAAUCAAACCGGGAGAUAGCUGGUUCUCCCCGAAAGCUAUUUAGGUAGCGCCUCGUGAACUCAUCUUCGGGGGUAGAGCACUGUUUCGACUAGGGGGUCAUCCCGACUUACCAACUCGAUGCAAACUGCGAAUACCGAAGAAUGUUAUCACGGGAGACACACGGCGGGUGCUAACGUCCGUCGUGAAGAGGGAAACAACCCAGACCGCCAGCUAAGGUCCCAAAGUCAUGGUUAAGUGGGAAACGAAGUGGGAAGGCUCAGACAGCCAGGAUGUUGGCUUAGAAGCAGCCAUCAUUUAAAGAAAGCGUAAUAGCUCACUGGUCGAGUCGGCCCGCGCGGAAGAUGUAACGGGGCUAAACCAUGCACCGAAGCUGCGGCAGCGACACAAUGUGUUGUUGGGUAGGGGAGCGUUCUGUAAGCCUGCGAAGGUGUACUGUGAGGUAUGCUGGAGGUAUCAGAAGUGCGAAUGCUGACAUAAGUAACGAUAAUGCGGGUGAAAAACCCGCACGCCGGAAGACCAAGGGUUCCUGUCCAACGUUAAUCGGGGCAGGGUGAGUCGACCCCUAAGGCGAGGCUGAAAAGCGUAGUCGAUGGGAAACGGGUUAAUAUUCCCGUACUGGUGGUAACUGCGAUGGGGGAACGGAGAAGGCUAGGUUGUCCGGGCGACGGUCGUCCCGGUUCAAGCAGGUAGGCAGAGUGAUUAGGCAAAUCCGGUCACUUAAUGCUGAGAUGUGAUGACGAACCACUAAGGUGGUGAAGCAAUUGAUGCCCCGCUUCCAGGAAAAGCCUCUAAGCUUCAGGUUACCAACAAUCGUACCCCAAACCGACACAGGUGGUCAGGUAGAGAAUACUCAGGCGCUUGAGAGAACUCGGGUGAAGGAACUAGGCAAAAUGGUGCCGUAACUUCGGGAGAAGGCACGCUGGCGGUAGGUAAAGUCCCUCGCGGACGGCGCUGAAGCCAGUCGAAGAUACCAGCUGGCUGCAACUGUUUAUUAAAAACACAGCACUGUGCAAACACGAAAGUGGACGUAUACGGUGUGACGCCUGCCCGGUGCUGGAAGGUUAAUUGAUGGGGUUAGCCGCAAGGCGAAGCUCCUGAUCGAAGCCCCAGUAAACGGCGGCCGUAACUAUAACGGUCCUAAGGUAGCGAAAUUCCUUGUCGGGUAAGUUCCGACCUGCACGAAUGGCGUAAUGAUGGCCAGGCUGUCUCCACCCGAGACUCAGUGAAAUUGAACUCGCUGUGAAGAUGCAGUGUACCCGCGGCAAGACGGAAAGACCCCGUGAACCUUUACUAUAGCUUGACACUGAACAUUGAGCCUUGAUGUGUAGGAUAGGUGGGAGGCUUUGAAGUGUGGACGCCAGUCUGCAUGGAGCCAACCUUGAAAUACCACCCUUUAACGUUUGAUGUUCUAACCUAGGCCCAUAAACUGGGUCGGGGACCGUGUCUGGUGGGUAGUUUGACUGGGGCGGUCUCCUCCUAAAGAGUAACGGAGGAGCACGAAGGUUGGCUAAGCAUGGUCGGACAUCAUGCGGUUAGUGCAAAGGCAUAAGCCAGCUUGACUGCGAGAGUGACGGCUCGAGCAGGUACGAAAGUAGGUCUUAGUGAUCCGGUGGUUCUGAAUGGAAGGGCCAUCGCUCAACGGAUAAAAGGUACUCCGGGGAUAACAGGCUGAUACCGCCCAAGAGUUCAUAUCGACGGCGGUGUUUGGCACCUCGAUGUCGGCUCAUCACAUCCUGGGGCUGAAGUAGGUCCCAAGGGUAUGGCUGUUCGCCAUUUAAAGUGGUACGCGAGCUGGGUUUAGAACGUCGUGAGACAGUUCGGUCCCUAUCUGCCGUGGGCGUUGGAAGAUUGAGAGGGGUUGCUCCUAGUACGAGAGGACCGGAGUGAACGCACCACUGGUGUUCGGGUUGUCAUGCCAAUGGCAUUGCCCGGUAGCUAAGUGCGGAAGAGAUAACCGCUGAAAGCAUCUAAGCGGGAAACUUGCCUCGAGAUGAGUCUUCCCUGUCGCUUUAAGCGACCUAAAGGAACGUUUAAGACUAAGACGUUGAUAGGCUGGGUGUGUAAGCGUAGCGAUACGUUGAGCUAACCAGUACUAAUGAACCGUGAGGCUUAACCUGACAACACCGAAAGUGUUUUG
rnacentral:rRNA from 1 species